rnacentral:lncRNA from 1 species
GGGACACACUGCUAAGGCUCACACCAUGCGGAUGAACAGACUCGAGCCUUGGUUCCACAUUUUGCAUAUGGGGAAACCAAAUCCUGGAAAAGGCUGCCCUUGAAGGUGGAUAUUUUAUCUCUGUUUUACAGACACGGACACGAAGCUAAGAGAAGCUCCACGGUUCAGGAUUCGAAGACCUCUCCCACUGUGUGGUGAGAGUCAGCUGAGGUCAACAAGACGGAAGCGGCAGGCAGAGAGAGCACUGACCCAAGGAAUCCGUUCUAGCUCCUGACACAGGGACCCUGACAUGCCGCGCGCAUGCAAAGCAAAGCAAGCACUGGGACUGGCCUUGCUGAGAGCUGUGAAGACACAUUACAGCUCUCAGGUGGGCCGUGCGGACUCACAGGGAAAGCACAGCACGAUUGUCCCCACCCCAGCCCACAGGAACCACCCUCUGGGCUGCUCCACAACCCUUGUCAACCUGUGAGGUCAUCUUGUAGGUGGAUGGACUGCAAGGGGGACUCACUGCUGCAGUAACAAGGCUGGCUCCUGCGAGGCACCUGCCAGCGAGAGCUAUUCUUGAGGCGCUUCUCUGAUUUCCUUGUUCUGCUUUCCUUUGGAGGCUGAGGGAUCCCUAGAGUGAGGUAGCCCUCUUACCAGCAUUCAGCUUGUGUGGAUGGUGAUACGGAUAGGUCACUCCUUGAAGCUCGGGGCUUCUAUCUGAGACCCCUGUGGGACCUUUGGACCUAAGAAUUAGCAGCAAGGGGCUCUUCCUUUGAAUAAAAGGACUCCAAUCUCCAGAAAACAGUGCUACACAGAGUA